GAAAAGAAAGCUUUUUCCUGAAGCUAUUCCUUCUUAUACACCUUUGAGUGAAGAGAGGGAGAUACCACCAAUGCAGUUACAAAAGAAGGCUUCUAAAAGUAAACCCGAUUACUCUACUUAUCAUACACCCACCAAACCUCUUAAUAUUCCUGAUGAAUAUAGGUUGGAGACUCCUACUCAAGAUCCAAGUGCUGAUAUGAUAGUCAAGGGAAUGGGGCAUGCAAAUGACCCUGUAGUUUUGGAAACCCCUCCAAUCCAACAUACUCCCACAUCUGCUACCAAUCCAUUAUCAGCAACUACUUGUACACCGCUAUCUGUUAAAAGCAAAUGUUUCAUGGUUGCAGCUGGAAUUCUUUCUGCCAUGCAAAAAGAUGAUGGUUUUUGGGAUUCACUUUCAUUACAAGAAGUUGAUGAUGUUCUUCAAUCUGCACAGAAGAUACAACCGACAUUAAUAGAUGAUGAUAGUGAGGAGGACUCACAAUCUCCUAAGUGUGAGGAAUACCAUUGGGAUACAGAUCCAGAAGUUUUUGACUCACCUGCAUCUUGGAAUACUGAAGAUGAGCUCAAGGAUCAAAUGUGGGAUGAUAGUCAACCAAUGUUUGGUCCUUCUAGAUCAAUCUCCGAAGAAGGCAGCCCAAAUGUUGGUGAUAACGCAGACACGCAGCAAGGUGACAAUGUGGCCGAUGCAAAUGAGAGGAAAGAGGGAGUCAGGUGCAAUAUAGCCGAUAGGUUUGACAAUCUAGACGAUAUGGACAACAAUCAGCCAUCACAACCUAUGCUGUCAGGGGCGGAGCGAAGCGCCAGGCGCUCGGUAUCUGCCUCACCGCCUCGACCGCCUAGGCGGCGCCCAGGCGGCGCCCUGAUCAGCACCCUUAACAGCAUUACAGCAAUCAGCAUCACAGCAUUACAGCAAUCAGCAUCACACUCUCUCCUUCUACUUCUAUAGGUAAUAGCUUCUCUCUCUCUCUCUCUCUCUGUUCUCGGUUUCUACAUGUUUAAAACUUUUGAGUUGAAAAAUUACACUUGUUUGGUCGAUUUUGUGAACUUUCAGGAAUACCCAAGUUGAAAAUAUAUCAAAAGACAAGGUAUUUUGGGGUUUUGUGUGACAAAAUGGCUUUGGAUUCAAAAAGAAGCAAAUUGGGAUUAGAAAUGAAGAACAAAGUAGUUCUUCUAGCAACAGAAGCAUAUGCUGAUGAAGCAAUCAAAGCAAUUAAAGAAGGGAAAGUUAUUGUUGUGCCAACUGAUACCCUUUAUGGAUUUGCAAAGUUACAGUGUUACAGCAGCAGCAGCCGGGGUAGAAGAAGAGAGAAGAAGAAGCAGCAGCAGCAGCGAAGACAGCAGCAGCAGGCAGCAGCAGCGAAGACAGCAGGCAGUGUUUAGAAAAGGACAUGGGCUUUUUCAUUUUGGGCCGCUUGAGCGCCUCUAUAUCAACCGCCCUGAGCAGAGCGCUGCGCCUAGGCGCCGCCCAGGCGCCUCGAAGCGUUUUAGGCGCUACUUUACCCAAGCGAAGCGGCCCCUUUCCAAAAUAGCGCCGCCCCUGACAGCAUAGAUCACAACACAAUAUGCCGUCUCAAACCAAUAAUGUGCCUCCUCAGAACAAUGUGCCUUUUCCUAGCAAUGUACCACUGCAACAUAAUACUAGGGUUGAGGAAAAUCGUGAUUUCGAUGAGGUAAAACACGAACUUAACAAUAUUUUUUCUUCCUAUAUUGCGACUAAAAGGGCAAAUGUAGGUUGUGCUCCUCACACAGAGCCUGCACACAACGACUAUGUGCAACCUAAACGAGGAGUAAUCUACAACAAUCGUGAUGAGCUUGAAAGGGAUGUCCAAACAUACGCGAUUAAAACUUGCACUGAAUUCAUAGAUGACUAUGAUCUUUUCACUCCAAUGCAGUUUGGAGAAGGACCUCCUCCCUCUCCUCUCAAUCAAACAGCAUAGUAGGUGGAAGAAUAUUUGGCUAUGUAUACACUUUUGCUAUAUUUUGCUAUGUAUACAGUUUAGACUUCACAUAUUAUCUGCUAUUAAAAGCAGUCUAUCUACUAGCCUUAUUCUACUAUCUGUUAUUUAAAAUUUUAGAAUCCGUACUAACAUGUUCAACAGAGUUAAGAAGAGGGUAAUCCAAUAUACUAUAAGUUAAAAGGAUCAUAAGUUUCAGAAUACAAGAAAUUCAGAAUACAAAACAAGAAAUAUACAAGUCUUCACAAAACAUGUCAAUAGGUUCAUAAAUCAGGUAUUUCUCUUUGGUGGUAGCUCUCCACAAUCAAUUAGGUCUCUAGCAAUGCGGUAGCGCAUCUGCAAAGGAUCUACCUCAAAUUCCGGUGGUAUUCCUCGAAGGACACAUUCGACGAAUGCAAGAAGGAAUGCCCCACAAGUACAAAAGUCUGGUUGUGUAACACAGGAUACAUACUCACGCUUCCACUUCCUUUCCAAAUCAAGAUGAAUCUGCGAUGGGUCUGCAGCAUAAAUAACAUAGGGCAACAUCUUCUCCAUGUUUCUCAGUUCAUUAGUUGCCCUUUUGUAGCCCAACGAAUCAUAUAUCCUAACUAUACUCUCACUGAAACUAAAUGAGAGCAGAAUCCAAUGAUUGUUAUCCACCUACAUUUAAUAGAUAUAUAAGAUAUGGUAGAGGAAAUGUACAUUAUAAACGAUACAGACUAAUACCUAGCAGAUAGUAUGAACAAUGUGGCGGUUAAAUGUAGAAGAUAAAAGAGUGUCUAUUAUGAAGUAGUAGAUACUCAUCCAUAUCUAGCCGAUACGCAGUAACUAAUAGCAGAUAUGCUAUACAAUGUAGCAGAUAAGGUAGUAUAAAUGAAGACAAAUACCUGUAAAGGAACAAGAAGUGCCUUAGCUUUCACAGGGUGUACUUGAUUGCGGAGGCCUAUCCAUGGAUCAACAAGAGAAGUAAUAUUUGAUGGAAUCCUAAAUCUCCCAGAUAAUAUCCUCUCUUGUGGCUUCAUUUUGGCAAAACUUUUGUCCUUCAUUAGAGCAUCAAAUUGAGGCAUCAUAUAAGAGGCGAUUUGGGUCUAAACAGAUGAAAGUAAGAAUAAAAACUUGCUUACAUGUAAUAGAAUUACAAGAACAUAACCAUAGAAGAAUAAAUAUUCAGAAGAAUAUACUUACAUGUAGAAAUACAGUUGGAACCACAACAUAUUGAUAUUCUUCCUUGUAAUCUUGUGGCCUCCUUCCAAUCAUCCAACGAACCAACAACCUCAAAUAAACAUGAAUAACCUCAUCAUUAAGCCAGUUGUCUUUAUAGAGUGUGUUGAAAACACUCACAGGGCAUGAUUGAAAAUAACCAUAAACCCUCACAUAUUGCCUAAACCUCGAAGGUUCCCUAGCUAAUCCCCAGAAAUAAUGAAGAAAAUCUGCUUCUUCCUUUUCAACUUGCCUAGUGAAGAAUGGAUCCCUCAUUAUAUCUUGAAUCUUUGCAUCACACCUAAGACCAAUCUGAACCUCCUCAGGUGACAUUUUGGCCAAGAAUUCUGCAUCCUGUUGCCUCUUUCUAUCCCUAAAGAACUGAAGAUCAAAGUUUUUGAUAUCAUCAUCAUCAUCAUUUGAAUAGACACCAAGAUAAAGGAUGCAGGCUUUAUCUUUGUUGGGACUAGCUGUUGGAUCCUUGUUGGGACUAGCAGUUGGAUCCUUGAUGGGACUAGAAUCUUCAUCUGAAAGUUCUGGAGUUUCAAGUCUAUAAUCUAUUGGAACUUUCUCCUUGUCAAUCACAAUAUCAGUUAUAGCAUCAACCCCCCCUGUAGAUUGUUCAUAAUCAUCAUCAGUGGACUCAUCCUUUGAGUCUUCAGUCUUAGAGGUUGUAGAUGUUGGUGGUGUUCCUGUUGGUGUUGUUGUAGCCGAUGGAGGCGCAUCAGUAGCAGAUGGAUGAACAUCUGUAACCGAUGGCUGACCAGAUGUAGCAGAUGAACUACCUAUGGUUGAUGAAUCAACCUUCAUUGAAGCAAGAAUAGAAAGUUGUUUCAACUUUGACAUCUCUGUGUCAAGAGGAUUACCUCCUUCUUUCAAAUUUUUCACCACAACUUCAAAACUCUCACGAUCACUACUAUCAUCAUCAUCCCAAAAACUCAAUUUUCUUGCUUUCUUGGAGCUUGGGACAUCAUCAUCAUCCGAUUGUGUUUUUCUUGCUUCAAGUGCCCUUUUCUUCCUUGCCUCAUUUCUCCUUCUAAUAUCUCUCCUCCAUGUCAGUUCUUCUGCUUCAUGCUUAACCUUCCUAUUAGGUUGUAGCCUUGAAGGAGGAACUCCAACUUCUAUUUUCUUCCUCUUUCUUUGUUUCACCUCCAUUUCUGGAAUCUUUGUUCCAUCUCCAUCAUUAUCAUUAUCUUCUUGCUCUUCUUGCUCAUACCAGCCAAGUAGAAGGACUUUAGGGGGCUUGAAGAAUUCCAUGUCUAUCAUUUCUUCACUCACAUAAACACCACCCUCCUUCACUUCAUCAUCACCACUUUUUCCCUUCUUUUUUCCCUUCUUACCCUCCCUUUUACCCUUCUGAACUUCUUCAACUUUAUCCCCCACUUUCACCUUCUUGGUUUCCUUCUUAUCUUCUUUAUCUGAUCUUUUCCUCUUCUUAACUUCAAGAGCUUUUGGUUCUGUUGGUUCCCUUCUUCUUAACUCAUAUUUACCAACUGUUGUAACAUUAUCCUCCAAGGAUUUCCUUCUGGUAGUUCUAACUGAAGUUGGUGAUGUUGUUGGCUUUGGAAUAUUCUUCUGGGAUUUAAGCUGUGAUGAAUCACUCUUAGAUUUUGAAUCUUUGUUGGGGUUGCUCGUAGGGGGUUUCUUCUUAGGUGGAAGUUUCACUCUCCCAACUGGUUUGGGUGAUACACUAGCUUUUGGGGUUGGAACAAUGAGUUUCUUGGCUGCAGCCUUUUUCUUAGGUGAAGGCUUGUGAGGUGAAGGUUUGUGAGGUGAAGGUCUGUGACUUGAAGGUUUGUGAGAACCAGGUUUUUUGGUUUUAACUGGUAAGUUAGUCUUAGGUUUGGCUUUUGGUGUUGCCUUUGAUGAGGUAUUUGACUUCUUUUUUGUUGUUGCCUUAGAUUUGGAUGCCCCCUUUCCAAUCUGACCUAAGGCAUCACUCACAAAUUGUUUUGCAUCAAGUUGCUGACCACUCUGCAGAAAUGAGGACAAAACAUUGUAGCAGAUAACAUUAUAGAGGUAACAGAUAUAACACAAAAUAUGUUAACAAAGGCCAAGUUUCUAGCAGAUAGUAAUUGACAAACACAUUUAAUUACUUUUCUAGCAGAUAUGUUAACAAUAUAUUGUAGUCGAUAUCACAGUUUAACAGUACAAUUCAUCAAUAUAACAAGUGGCAGAUAUAAUACAACAAGUAUCAUACAAAUGGAAGAUAUUAUUUUGAAAGGUUUGAUUUUGAAAGAUUUGAAGAUGAAAGUGUUGUUGUUGAAGAUGCAAUUUGGUUUAAAGAUGCAAACUUUCCUUUUUAAUGACUUUAAGAUUUCAGUUUGUAGGUAGCAGAUAGAUUGUCUAUGUAAAGCAACAGGUCUUGCCAGUAGCAGAUACGAUAGAAUCAUAUAGCAGAUACAUAAAAAUGGAAAAUUUUGUUGUAGCAAACAACAUACCUUCUGAGUCAUGCAUGCCUUCACUACUCCACUCAGAAUUGUCUCAAGAAAAUCCUUGUUAAUUGUAAGCAAAUCUGAACCACCACCACUUCUUGUUGAAGAUGUUGGAUAAGACGGAAUGGUAGGCAUAGAUGGCCUAGAGGAAGCAAACUCUUCAUGUUCUGCUUUGUAUUGAGCUUCAAACUUCAAAUAAAAUGUAGCAGAUAAGAGUUAUAUUCUAGAAAAUAGAUAGUACAAUAUAACAGAUCAACUUAAUACAGAAAGGGGAUUCAUUGUUUUGUAGAAGAUAAAAACAAAAUUCAAGGGGAUUUACCUCUGCAACCUGUUGUAGAUUAGCAAGAUCUCUUUCUUCCUGGGUGACAUCUAAUGGAUAUGCCACAGUACAUUUACCUUUCUUGGGAAACAGCUUCAAAGAAAUUUUAUUCCUAGUUUUGUUCCUGUUGAGCAACUCAGACCAUCCAAGCAUCCAUGGAAAUCCAACACUUCUAUCUCUCCUAGGACCCAAAUCAGGGAAGUGCAAGUAUGCCCAAAUCAUAAAAGCUAACAUACAUCCAUUGAUGCAAUAACUAGGAUUAUCCUCAAUGACUUUGGGAUAAAUUUCUUCAAGAGAAGUCUCAAGCAAUUGAAAAGUAACAGUACCCCAUGGAAAAUUAUCAAAUGCAUUCAAAUCUUCGGCUAAAUCAAUGUACUUUACACUCAAAUUUUUUGAUGACUCGGCAAGAAGAAAAAUGCACAGAAAAUACAACCUGUUCAAACGAUGAACAUCGUUUGGAUCAGCUUCUCCCUUAGCAAUAAAUCUCCUUGCUUCAGUAAUUGCACUUGAAAUGUGAUCAUCCCUUAUGUGAAGGUUUGUACCGAAGUACUUGCUCUUGAAUGUAGUGUAGUCUUUCGGCUUCCUCAUCAGAAAAUCAACUGGAACAUUUUCAAACUUUAAAGGGCCUAAGAUCAUGGCCACAUCUGACAUUUUGAACUCGACAACUCUUCCUCCUAUACCAUACUUUAACCUACUUACUUUACAUCUCACAAUUUCUGUGAUAACGGAUGUUAUCAUGUGAACAUGUUCGGAAUUGAAAUCGAGAAAUUGACCGAAGGGCGAAGUUCUAAAUGAUUCUAACUCUUCCGGUGGAAUUUUAUCACUUGGAUGUUGGAAGUGUUCAAAAAAUUUAGUUGUUGAACACCUAACUGUGAGAGUAAAUCGUCUACCUUUUUUGAUUUCAUCAUCUCUAGUUUGCUGCUGCUUCUUCUUAAUUUCCUUCAUGUUUUGUCGAAUUAGAACUUUGAGAACUUUGGGUUAUAAAUUGAGGUUAUGACGGUUGGGGAAGAAGAAGAUGAGAGGAAGAGUGACGACGGUUGAAGAAGAAGAAGAUGAGAGGAAGAGUGACGACGGUUGAAGAAGAAGAAGAUGAGAGGAAGAGUGACGACGGUUGAAGAAGGAGAAGAUGAGAGGGAAGCGUUUGCUGUGCGAAAUUGAAAUUGAAAUUGAAAUCCCUAAUUUUCGUUUUCCCCAACUAAAAGCCCGCCUCUUUGUUACCUAAACAACUUCUGCCACGUGUAGCAGAUUAGCAGAUAAUUUCGGUUUUCUUACAGAUUAGCCCAACUAAACUUUACAUCCAACGGUCACAGUUCAUCAUACAAAUCCAAUGGUCCUUAUUUAAAGAAGAAUUUUUUUCUCACAUGUCACAUCGGUCAUUUAAACAAAAAAAUUAAACAAAAAGUAUUAUUUAAGUACUAAGGGUAAUAUAGGAAGAAAAAUUAGCUAAAAGACAAAAACAAAAUUUUAAAGAGAAUCUUUGUGCUUGUUUGGGAAAAACUUUAGACUUAUUGGCUGUGCUUGUUUACAUGGAAAAGUUGGGGAAAAAGUCAGAUGUGGAAAAUUGCUCAAAAAAAGUUUUUAAAGAUUUUCCGUUUACUAUGUAAUAGGGUGCUUGUUUAGGUAGAAUAAUAAUAGUGGACACAGACACGUGGAGAUAUAUAAAAAGCAGGGACCACACAUUUUGACCAAACAAUGGGAGAGAAAGAGUGGGGACCACAAGUUUCCAAUGUAUUCCGGUAUUCUGAAACCGGUAUAAAAUGCUGACGUGUUUUACUCUAAACAAAAUUUUGUUGUGGUCCCCACAAGCAACCAAGCACCUGUAAUAGCAAAAAAAUCUGGAAAGUCUGAUGUGUCUUCUGUUUCCCUAAAGUUUCCUUGGAAACAAGCACAACCAUUGCUUAUUUGGGAAUGUUGUGCCUAAUGUUGUACUUAUUCGGGAAAUUACCAAAAAAAAAAAAGACUUCUAUCAUGUGAGGUGUCUUUUCAACCUAUUAUCUUUUGGACAUGUAUUUGUCUUCUGUCACUUUUUGCCCUAAAUUGGAAUGAGUUUAUGCAUGUCCCAUCAGGGUUUAUAGUAGCUUUUCCAGGGGUCUGCCCUUGUGCAACUACCUGGUUCUGUGAGCUUUAUUUUCCUUGUGUUUUUUUUUUUCACUUUUUCCUUCUUUUAUACAAGGGUUGAUUUUAUAUGCUUGGUAUCAUGUAUUAAAGCAGAGGCAAAACAUGUUUAGAAUAGAGGUCGAAAGUGACCAAGUGACUACUGUUGAACAUCCUUUCAAAGUUGAGUCCCUAAAUAACCUGAGACAUAUUACUACUGUACGUUUGGCGUUAAAAGCCCCAAACACAUCAUUAUUACAAGGUACAGGCUAACAGGCGUUUCUAGUGUCACGCUUGAGAUUUCUGUUGUUAAUCGCGUGCCCAUCUAGGUGAUUGGACAUGCAUCAUUAGACAUUGGCUUUAGCUAAUCAGGCGUGGUCUGUCGUUUUUAACUACUGCACAAUACCUUGAAAUUUAGUUGCCAGCUAAUUUCUUAAAUUUAAGUUUGUAAUUACUAAGAAUCCUCAAAUUCAAAGGAGAAGAUGUGAUCAAACAAAAGCUUCCUGUUUACCCAGGAAAAGUGAAUUUGAAAAGUUUAGCACCAUUUUAGGUGCAAUGGAAACAAAAUAUACUGUGCGAUUUUGACCCUGGUUACAGAGAAUAUUUGCUAAAUAUUUCACAGAAUAGAAUAGUGCUGGUCUAUUGGAAAGAAACGUUUAGUAUAUUAGUAUUAAGAUUAAAUAUCAUACUUAAUAGGUUUAGUAUAUUAUAUUAAUGAUUUAAAAUGAUAAAUAACAAAAAUAGCAAAGGAUAUUAUCGGAACAGAAAAAAGCUUCAGUAUAGUUAGCUGGUUGGUUGGUGCACGUGUAAGGUUGGUUUCCAGGUUGCAUUCCUUAUCGGGUUGGGGAUCUCCGUAUCUGGUUUCUUAAUCAAAUCAUGAAUUGAAUUCUAUUAUUAAGCGAAAUCCAAUAAAAUCUAUCUCGGCUGUGCUUGUUUACAUGGAAAAGUUGGGGAAAAAGUCAGAUGUGGAAAAUUGCUCAAAAAAAGUUUUUAAAGAUUUUCCGUUUACUAUGUAAUAGGGUGCUUGUUUAGGUAGAAUAAUAAUAGUGGAAACAGACACGUGGAGAUAUAUAAAAAGCAGGGACCACACAUUUUGACCAAACAAUGGGAGAGAAAGAGUGGGGACCGCAAGUUUCCAAUGUAUUCCGGUAUUCUGAAACCGGUAUAAAAUACUGACGUGUUUUACUCUAAACAAAAUUUUGCUGUGGUCCCCACAAGCAACCAAGCACCUGUAAUAGCAAAAAAAUCUGGAAAGUCUGAUGUGUCUUCUGUUUCCUUAAAGUUUCCUUGGAAACAAGCACAGCCUAUAUAUAAUCAUGUUUGAGAAAAUAAGAAUAUUGAAAACUCAAUGGGUGGAGGAGGUGAUGGUGGUGUUGAUUGGUCUGAGAUUGGUGAGGAUAUACUGGUCUCUGUUGUCAAUCGGCUCCACACCAUUACCGAUUACUUCCACCUCGGUGAAGUUUGUAAGCCCUGGAGAACUAUCAGUACUUGCAGUCCACAUAACUAUCAAAUUCCACAGUCUCCUUUUCUCAUGCUAGCAGAGUAGCAGAACCAGAAAAGAAACAUGAGGAAAAAAAGGAGGGUAGUCAUGAUGCAGCAAUUGACAGGGCCAUCGGUCGUCGUGGAUUUGUUGGACUCAACAACAAAGACAAGGUGUGUGAGCUUCAUCUACCCGAAUUGUACCAAAGGCGAUGUGUAGGAUCUACAGGUAAUUGGCUUAUUACAGUUAAUGAGGAACAACAAGUAUAUAUUUUCAAUCCAUUUACUAGAAUUCAAUUUCAACUCCCUUCGCAUUCUGCAUUACCUGAUCAGUAUGACGUCGACUGUGAAUUUAAUCAAGAAGAACUUUGUGCCCGUUUUUUAAGGAAAGUAGUCCUAUCCUCUCCCCCAACAUACAUGAACUCAAAUUUAGAUGAUGUUAUUGCCAUAGCUUGUUAUGGUACCUAGUGGAGAUUAGCAAUUGCUAAACCUGGAGAUGAAUCAUGGACACCUAUAAAAAGAUACAUCCCUGCAGAUAUGUUUGUUGACGAUGUAAUCUUUUUUAAGAAUAGAUUCUAUUCUGUUAAUCGCAAGGGAUACGUUGCCUACUAUGAUAUUAGUUGUGAUCCUCUUGUGGCUACACAUGUUUCAGGCGAAUUCAUGACUAUUCGCUAUGUACACAAGUAUUACUUGGUGGAAUGGAUGGGUGAAUUACUAUUGGUUCGUAAAUAUAUCCCUAUGACAGGAAAGGAACCAUACUAUAGAACAGAAGGGUUUCAAGUAUCCAAGUUCAAUUUCGACAAUGGGGAGUGGGAGGAGGUAAAGAGUUUAGGACAAUAUUCAUUGUUCUUGGGAUUUAAUACAUCAGUUUCUUUGUUGGCCUCUGAUUCUUCGACAUUUCGUGGAAAUUGUAUUUAUUUUACAGAUGACUAUAUGUUGGGAUACAUAGGAAAUGAUAUUGAAGGCGGUAGUGACACGGGAGUAUUUGAUUUAGAGAAUGGAACAAUCAGGCCUCAUUAUGCUGGAAUUUCCACCUCACUUUACUCACCUCCUUUGUGGAUUAUUCCAAAAUCACUACAUCAAUAAUAGGUGCAGAUGGUAAUGUUUGCGACUUUGCUGGAACUCUGGAGCCCUGGAGGCAGAAGUUGUGGAAUGGUCAAGUGGAAGUUUGGUUGGGAGUGAAGUUGAAUCUCAAGAAAAAAAAAUAGUGGAAAGAGAGAAUCAGAUUAUGUCGAAGUAACCAUCUGUAUGGGGAUUGCUUCAGUAUAGUUUGACGUACUUUUUUAUUCGUGUAGUCAUGAGUGACUUAAUGCAGAGUUUUUUCCAUUAAGAUAUGGAGACUCGCAAGUACCUGUCAAUCUGUCAUAAGUGAGUGAAGUUGUAUCCACCUACAGGGGCUUUCCUGAAAUGAACUCCGAGGGUGCUGCAAAAGGCAGUCUAGAAGCAGCUGGAAACAAGGUGACGUUUCGUGAUAGACAUGGGACUGUACUUGGUGGUGUAAGUAAAGGUUUGAAACCAACUACAAGCUAUGUCGAGACGUGUGAAGGCGUGAAGCUAUAAUAGAGGGGGUUGGUUAUCUGUAUUGAUUGAAGCAGAUUCAAUCAGUUACAACAAUUAUGACUUGUGGUAGCAAAGACAUCCAUUGGGCAUUACACGCUGGUUGGGUAAGGGCAAUGAGCUCUAUGCAGCAAGCAGCAUGUGCUGAUUGCAAAUACAUGGCGAGAAGCCAAGAAGUGAAUACUGCAGUGGAUCAGAUGGCUAACAAUGGUGUCUUGCUAGGACCAUCGUUAAAAAUCCACCAAUGUUAACUAGGAUUGAGGACCCCGAUAGUGUAUACUCAAGGUUCAACCGUUCAAGUGAGUCCUGUAUAUCUAAGUACAUCUUUUGUGUUUAAUUUCAUGCUCUCUCUUAAUCUAAACACUUUUUGUUAUCUAAGGUGAAGCUCGUAGGGGAAAAGAAUAAAAAUAAAAAGUUUAUUAACUCUUAAAUUUGCAAUUGCUUAUUGUUUGUAGCACCUAGUCCCC
rnacentral:lncRNA from 1 species